rnacentral:rRNA from 1 species
GUUUGAUCCUGGCUCAGGACGAACGCUGGCGGCGUGCUUAACACAUGCAAGUCGAGCGGAAAGGCCUUUCCGGGUCUCGAGCGGCGAACGUGGUGAGUAACACGUGAGUAACCAUGCCUUCAGCAUUUGGGAUAACCCUCAGAAACGGGGGCUAAUACCGGAUAUUCAUUGUCUGCGGCAUCGUGGGUGGUGGAAAGUUUUUUCGGCUGGAGAUGGGCUCGCGGCCUAUCAGCUUGUUGGUGGGGUGAUGGCCUACCAAGGCGACGACUGGUAGCCGGCCUGAGAGGGCGACCGGCCACACUGGGACUGAGACACUGCCCAGACUCCUACGGGAGGCAGCAGUGGGGAAUAUUGCACAAUGGGCGGAAGCCUGAUGCACCGACUCCGCAUGAGUGAUGACUGCCUUCCGGUUGUAAACCUCUUUCUACAGGGACGAAGCGCAAGUGACGGUACCUGGAGAAGAACCGCCGGCCAACUACAUGCCAUCAUCCGCGGUAAGACGUAAGGCGCGAGCGUUGUCCUGAUUUAUUGGGCGUAAAGAGCUCGUAGGCAGCUCGUUGCGGCCGCUGUGAAAACCCUCAGCUCAACUGUGGGCUUGCAUCCAAUACAGGCGGGCUUGAGUUCCGUAGGGGAGACUGGAAUUCCUGGUGUA